CCCAUCACUUUUUCUUUUGAUGCAAAAAGACAAAAUUAUACCCUCCACCAUGUGCAAGCACGAGUGUAUGAUGAGUAAAACCUACAAAAAUCGAGAUACAUAAUUGAUGCAGUAUGCCCACCGACAUAGUGCACGUGAUGUAGGAUAUAAUUUCUUUGCAAAAUAUCUCCUUGCAACCAACUGCAUACAAUAAUCUAUCCC
rnacentral:lncRNA from 1 species